GAAAAGAAGAGGAGAAACGAGGGAAAAUUACAUAUUACGAAGAAAAAAAAAUGGUUAGAAAGUAGAGGACUUCGAUAUUCUGGCAAUCCGAGUCCUUUAAAUUGCUGAAGGGUAGACUCAGAUAAUAUGCUUUAUUUUGCAAGUAAGCAUUUCACACUGAAAAGUGGUUUGAAUUUUACUACACAAGUGUAGUGAAUUCAAUCUAUUUUUCUGCCACAAUUUGUUAUAAGCCAUUGAAACUCAGUUUUUCUCUUUUUUUUUUUUCUGUUUUUAUUCAAACAGUACUGGUGAAUAUUAGGUGUUUGUAGUUUGGUUCAUUGAAUUCACCAAUUUUCUCAGUUAUAUUAGAAUGUAUAUACUAAACUAAGUGUGAGCCUCUUCUUGUAUUGUCCAUUGCUCAUAACUUCCAUUUAGUCACCCAACUGCACCACAAGUGCUCCUUCAACGAACGGCACGGACAUCCAGUUGUUGUUUUUGUUAAUUAGUGAAAUUCUCAUGGAGAAUUCAAAACUUCAUUUUGUAGUAAUACCUGUAAUUUGACGGAUUUGAAGGCCACGUGUGAAUCCAAUCCGAUACUGGAUGAGAGUAGUGUUUGAUGAAAUCUCUCCAGCCGUAAACUUCAUCCCUGGCUUGAUUAAGGCUUGUUCCAUACCUCACAGGUUUGUGAACAUCUUCAGAAAAUAAACGCAUCUUUUCAGCACUAGGAAGGUUGAAGAACUGUGUUGAGACUUCUAGGACUUCAUCCAUCACCGAUUGAUCAAUCCUAUGGUCAAUAACCUACAAAAUUGAAGCCUAAUGUAAAUAUAUAACAUAGUAUAACAUGUCUUUAUAGAGCCUUGAACUUAAAAUACAUCCUAUGUUAGCUACUAUAAUUAAUUAUCAUAUGUAUGCUCAUGUAUAAAAGAAUGCAUGUAAAUGUUUGUGUUUGUUGCAUCAAUAUGAAAAAAUGAUAUGCAGAUUGAGCAGGUGCUAUAUAUACCUGAAAGCAUCCUAUCUCUUUGCAGGCAAUUCGAAUUUCAUUGAUGGUUGAUCUAGAAACAAGAGAUUGAUCACGCGAAGUAGACAAAUAUCUAUGAUGGGAAGAGUGGUUGAUAUUGGAAGAUGAGGGCUGGGUCGUUGUGAUGGUGGAAGAACAUAACGUCGAGGUAUAGAAGACACUCCAAGCUUGUUAAGACUCACAGCACUGGUAAAUGAAGAAGCACCAUUACCUUGUUGCUCCAUUGUUUCUCUUCCCAAAUCUUAUCUUCGAUUCUAUUGAUUUGAGACAGGGCCAGUCACAAAUAUAUUUAUAAGCGUCUCUAAUGGAUAUGUCACAUUCAUUAUAGUCCUCUAUCUGUAUUUUUUCAGGUUGUUCACUUACAUUGUACAUGCUAGAAAGUACAGAAAAAUGUUUUUCGUUCGGAAAAGAGUGUGGAUUAAAUGGUAGUAAGCUCUAGGUUUGAGUGAUGAUGAGAGUUGAAGUCAGAAGGGAAGAAAAAAGAGAGCAAAGUGAUGAAGGAAUUUUUAUGGAGUUACUGCUAGUGGGAAAAAAAUAGGUGGCUUGGCUUAUUUGGUCUUUUUCUUUUGUUGGAUAAAUGUUUGUACUUUUUACACGUACUAGAAGAAGUACAAGUACAUGCUGCAUAGAGAUUAUUGGCUUGGUUUGACUUUUGUUACACUCAGAAGUUCAGCAACUGUAAAAUAAGUGCUAUUGGAGAAACUUAAGAAUGGUGGUUUGAGUUGUGUAAUCAGAUAUACAUG
rnacentral:lncRNA from 1 species